AAUUUCCCCAAUAAUUCAUUUUUCAUUUCUUAUGCAUUAAUUUGUUGCUAUAUUCACUUUUUUAUGGGUAGUCUUUAUUUUAUUUGCAUUUCUGUUUGUUGUGUGAACUUUGACAUCGCUGUGAUGUCAUUUCCUGUCAUUCUGGCGCGCUCCUCAGUCCUCUUCUGGACUGCCGAGGAUAGGAGACAUGUACGUGAAACGUAUUGAAGUUGAAGUGUCUUUUAUAUGUAGUGCACAGGAGAUAUAUGCAGCUGUGUGUCGCACAUAAGUAUCCACUCGAUGUCCUUCAUCUCCCACUCAAGUUUGACAAAGUCACCCAGAAACAUGGCUUGCACCUCGCGGCGGCGUAGAACACAAAUAGGGCAGACAAGAACAACGAGGCCCCUCCGAGACCCCCGAUGGUAACAUCAGUGAUUCCAUCUCCAUUCAGAUCCAUGACACCAUGUAUCGACUGACCAAAGAACUUCAUUUUGUCAUUCUCCCCUCCUGCUGGGAUGUGCUGAAGGGACAAUUUCGACAAUGAAAUGCGUGUUUGUCUCAACACUUCCAAUCAGUCGGCUGGUACUCACCUGCGCAAAUUUCUCCUUCAGUGACCUUUUGUCUCCGUGAUAGAUGUAGACUGCCCCCUUGUGGUCAUUCUCAAAGGGGGCGCCGAUGGCCACAUCAUUGAACCCGUCGAGGUUGAGAUCCGAUACGGCGGCGAUGGCAGUACCGAAGCGGGCCCCGCACGGCUCGUGUUUAUGAGUGCAGCUGGACGAGUGGGCAGUGCAGCACGACUGAUUGAUGGGCUUUAAAGUGAACUCGUACUCAAACUGGCCAUCCUGGUGGAGGAGAAAGGAGUGAGUAAGUACACUGGAGGAGAGAACAUACAGUCCCCUGUAGAUGCACACGCGAUUGUGAUUAUUAGUCACUUGUACCUGCUUAAGUUUGUAGACAUAAACUUGACCCUGCUCGUCUCUUUCUGAGCCCAUGUACAUUGGGGCACCAACCAAGAGGAGAUCGGUGUAAGAGUCGCCGUCUACAUCGAGAGUCUGUAAAACGCUGCCAAAGUACGACCCGAUCUGCACACAGGAAGAAUGAUUGUACAAAAUUUAGAACCCCAACAUAUCAAUAUGUAGUACAGUCGACCCUCGUUUAUCCUGGUUAAUUGGUUCCAGAGCCGACCGUGAUAAGUGAAUUUCCGCCACGUAGGUUUCAAUAUUGCAUAUUUCUGUAGUUAUGGCAUAGAAAACUUGUUUACGAUCUUCUAAAUAUGUUUUUUUUAACAUUAUUAAAGCCCUCUAUGCAUGAAAUAACACCCAUAUAGUCAUCUUUACAUUUGCAUUACCCAAUAUAGUAGAUAUAAUCCGAGAAACUAAGAGUAAGGCUAAGACUCACAAGUUAACAGUUCCUUGUUUUUUUUUCCGAACAGCGUACUUCUUGCAGUGGCUACUGUCUCACCACUGUACUGUAAUGGUGGCUUUAAAUGCCUUUACACUUGUAUUACCCAAUAUAGUAGACAUAAUAAGAGUAAAUAAGUCAUUUAAGAUGUAAAUACAACUCCUCCUUGUGUGUGACAGUAAAUGUGUGACCAUAAUGGCAGGUGGACAGAUGUGUAGAGGACAGGAAGUGAUGUCAAAGGUUCAGAGUUGAGUUUUACAAAUAUGGUAUAUUGCACAGUAGCAACAGAACCAAUGUUGUUAUACUGCUCAUGAGCAAACUGCUCAGCCAGUGUUAAUACUUGUGAUCAGGUGACGGCAGGAGUAACAUGCAGAAGUUCCACACCAACAAAACAGCUGAGGAGCUAAACAUUUUAUAGUGGGGGGAUCAAAAGCUGUAAUGUAGCAAGGAAAAAUGAAAUGUUAACCCUAAUAAGUAAUAACAACACAUGUUGUCACCUGUAACACAAAGCGGAUGUUAAAUCCAUGUAAAAGGUCUUUUUUAGCGUUUUUACAAAGUAAAAAAUAUCAAAAUGUACCUCGCGUCCUUCGAUUUUUCCAUAUGCGGCGCUCGCUGGAAAAAGCUUGGACGCCUCUGACUUCAGUUAUUAGCUUUGACAGUGCUUGCCCAGCUUAAGCAUAAUAGUUGCAUUGGUGGUAAAUCAACAAGCUACAGUGUUUACAUUAGAAAGAACAAGCCCACUGUACAGUGAACAUACUCACUUGUUCUCCUCCCAGUGUCUGCGAGACAACAAUGUCUUUGUCCUUCAGCCGAUAGAUAACAACACGACCCGUGUGGUUGUAACGUGGCGCUCCCGUGAUGUACAGCACGCCAUCAGGGGUAGACGCUGACUGGACAUCAUAACCUACGCAAACAGGCAUACACAUCUCCUGUCAUGGGGAAAGCAUUGACAGGAUCUCUUUCUGAAGGCUCCUUCUGCCAAAUGUUUACGUCUCACUUUGAAAAGAGGAAGCGAUAAAACACAACUGGAAACUGGCAGGACAAUGCGUGACAACUGACAGAAAGAACACAAAGGAAGGCACACGCUGCAGACAAAGCCAUUUAGGUGAGAGCGUGUGCCAACAGCUGAGUUUACAGUAGACCAGCCCAUAGCCGGCGUGUGCUCUUCAUAACGACAGCUUGAUUAAAUAAGUCGAUAUUAAGAUGCUUGGGUUGCUUUACAGGCCAUAAAAGGCAUCGAGACGGGGAGAAAAGAUGUUGUAUAUUAUUUAUGUGCACGGCGAAAAGAGCAAGACAUCUGCAGUCGACAUAGAUCAAACUGAAAGAGGCAAAUUCUGUAUUUAUUCUGCAUCCCGUUCAAGCUAAACACGUUCUUCAGACGCGUAUAUUUUGCUGUCAAUUUGUGUCCUUUCAACUCACCUAGAUAACCAGCCAGUCUUUCGUAUCCAGCUUCAGUUUGGCCGUCAAAGAAGUGGUUUUUCUCGGGAUAGAUUGUUCCCCCUUCGGUGUGCAUAAUGACAGUUCCAUUCCAGUCAUAUGCUCCCACAGCUCCCAGUAGCAUGCCUUCCUGUGACAAAACAAGAUUAUAAGCCACAAAGAAGUACAUAUCAUUACUAGAAUGUAUUAUUAUUAUAAUUAUAUAUUAUUACAAGAUUGGGCCCACAAGAACGAGACGAGUUUUAACAUGAAGAAAAUUACAAUGAAAAAAUAAAACUGGUCUAUUGUCAACAUUUUUUGAGACCAAAUAAACCACUGUUAUGAUAAUACAUAAUAAUAGUAAUAAAUAAUAAUAAUAAUAAUACAGCUCACUGUUUUUCUCUCGCUUGUCUUUGGCUGUAUUUACAUCAGGGCUACCCAGCUGUCCUUUUAGUUGGGAACUGAUA